rnacentral:misc_RNA from 1 species
UUAGCAACUUUCUCUCAAGGGCGGUUAGCACCCUUCCUUAUCCACCAACUUAGAAAAUUAGCCAAUUGACAGCGAGGUCUAUUUCCCUCACUCUCCUAAUGAAAACUUGUCCUUAACAAAUCAGCUCUUUUCGUGUCCUUAGACCUACCCAUCACUAGCUUUCCCCCGCCACAACAUCGUCACUAAACUUUACUGAUUUUCCAACUUUCGAAUAGUCGACGUCUUUUUACCGGGUUUCUACCCUUAGAUCAGUCGCCUACUUAAUUUAUAUAAAGUUGUUAGAGUAAAGUGUAAUUUAUAUGUGUCAAUUCAGUGUAUACUCAAUUGUGACUAUUAAGUGCAUAAUAAAUUGUGUUACGGCUCAACCUUCUUGUUUUUAUAAUCUGAGUCACAAGUUUACGUGACAGUGUCGUC